rnacentral:rRNA from 1 species
UACGAAGGGGGCUAGCGUUGCUCGGAUUUACUGGGCGUAAAGGGCGCGUAGGCGGACGAUCAAGUUAGGGGUGAAAGCCCGGAGCUCAACUUCGGAAUUGCCUUUAAGACUGCAUCGCUUGAAUCAUGGAGAGGUCAGUGGAAUUCCGAGUGUAGAGGUGAAAUUCGUAGAUAUUCGGAAGAACACCAGUGGCGAAGGCGACUGACUGGACAUGUAUUGACGCUGAGGUGCGAAAGCGUGGGGAGCAAACAGG